rnacentral:rRNA from 1 species
UACGAAGGGGGCUAGCGUUGCUCGGAAUGACUGGGCGUAAAGAGCGCGCAGGCGGUCGUUGAAGUCGAGUGUGAAAGCCCCCGGCUCAACUGGGGAGGGUCAUUCGAUACUGAUCGACUCGAAGGCAGGAGAGGGUAGUGGAAUUCCCGGUGUAGUGGUGAAAUGCGUAGAUAUCGGGAGGAACACCAGUGGCGAAGGCGACUACCUGGCCUGUUCUUGACGCUGAGGCGCGAAAGCUAGGGGAGCAAACGGG